AAGAACCUUACCAGGUCUUGACAUCCCAGUGACCGUCCUAGAGAUAGGAUUUUUCUUCGGAACACUGGAGACAGGUGGUGCAUGGUUGUCGUCAGCUCGUGUCGUGAGAUGUUGGGUUAAGUCCCGCAACGAGCGCAACCCCUAUUGUUAGUUGCCAUCAUUAAGUUGGGCACUCUAGCGAGACUGCCGGUAAUAAACCGGAGGAAGGUGGGGAUGACGUCAAAUCAUCAUGCCCCUUAUGACCUGGGCUACACACGUGCUACAAUGGCUGGUACAACGAGUCGCAAGUCGGUGACGACAAGCUAAUCUCUUAAAGCCAGUCUCAGUUCGGAUUGUAGGCUGCAACUCGCCUACAUGAAGUCGGAAUCGCUAGUAAUCGCGGAUCAGCACGCCGCGGUGAAUACGUUCCCGGGCCUUGUACACACCGCCCGUCACACCACGAGAGUUUGUAACACCCGAAGUCGGUGAGGUAACCAUUUGGAGCCAGCCGCCUAAGGUGGGAUAGAUGAUUGGGGUGAAGUCGUAACAAGGUAACCGUACCU
rnacentral:rRNA from 1 species